rnacentral:misc_RNA from 1 species
CCAUGGAGGCUUCGGCCGACAUAGAGGUAGGACCCUUUGUUUAUGAGUACCCUUUGUUUCCUCGGCGGGCUCGCCUGCCACGAGGACAACCAAAAACCUUUGCAGUAGCAGUACCUUCAGUCAAAAAUAAAUAUUAAAACUUUCAACAACGGAUCUCUUGGUUCUGGCAUCGAUGAAGAACGCAGCGAAAUGCGAUAAGUAGUGUGAAUUGCAGAAUUCAGUGAAUCAUCGAAUCUUUGAACGCACAUUGCGCCCUUCGGUAUUCCGUUGGGCAUGCCUGUUCGAGCGUCAUUUAAACCUUCAAGCUCUGCUUGGUGUUGGGUGUUUGUUCCGCCCCCGUGCGUGGACUCGCCUUAAAUUCAUUGGCAGCCGGUAUGUUGGCUUCGUGCGCAGCACAUUGCAAACGAUCCAAGUAUACCCCCUCCCAUUAAGCUCUCCUUUUUAC